GACGCUGCUGAUUGGCUGGCACGUUGCCAGAACUCUGUCAAUCACCGAGUGUAAACAAGGCUCUGAUUGGCUGCUGGCCAGUCCGCACUGGGCUGCCUGAAAAAAGCAAUUACUGCCCCUGCGGUUUCAAGGCGGCCCCGCGCUGAACGAUGAAAGGAGAUAAGGAGGGGCGGUUUCAAGGCGACCCCCCCACGGCGAACCCCGUUGGCCCCAGAGCAAAAGGAGAGUCAAGAGUGACUAAAUCAAAGGGAAUACGAAAAUGGAGGAGAGAACGGCAACAAGGACCGGAAAACAGCUCUCGCUCUGCCUCGGGGAGCUCCUUCUCACCAACACGGAGAGAAAAGUUUGUGUCGACAAAGGAGACGGUGGACGCAGAGCGAUGGGAACCACAACCAACAAGCAGCAAAGGCACAGAAGAAGAAAAAGACAUGAUGGAGUCAUAAGUUGACUGGACACAAAAACAACAUGACCUUUUUUUUCUCUGUGUGCGCAGGGCUGAUGCUGCUCUCUCUGAUCGGCCCUGACACAUGUAGACUCAGGACGGAUCAUGCAUUGUGAAAUGCUUGGCAUGAAAAAGAUCAAAAACGCUGUACCCCUCCUUAGAGCGCUUUAAAAGACUCCAAACUGUUGGAUGAGGAUGAGGGUGCAGUAGAAGAAGAUGAGGAUUGGGAUAUUGAUGGUGGCGAGGGAAAAAAAGCUUGGGCAACAAAUUAGUGCCUGUCACACAGCCAUGUAUCCGGCUGUAACCACCACCAGGCCUGUAUGGAUGAGAUGAAAGCCUCCAUUUAUGGACCAUCAAAACACGCAGGUGGAGGCUUUAAUUAUCAUUUGAACAUAAACAGCCAUAGCGUGCCGUUCUGCGCGUGUUUGCACCGUAAGCUUAUGUAGUUUCUAUUCAAACAGCAGUAGGUCAUUUCAUCUUUUCUGAACAGACCAGAUCGUGAAAUGUUGAUAUUAUACACAA